rnacentral:rRNA from 1 species
UUAGAGUUUGAUCCUGGCUCAGGAUGAACGCUAGCUACAGGCUUAACACAUGCAAGUCGAGGGGAAACGACAUCGAAAGCUUGCUUUUGAUGGGCGUCGACCGGCGCACGGGUGAGUAACGCGUAUCCAACCUGCCCACCACUUGGGGAUAACCUUGCGAAAGUAAGACUAAUACCCAAUGACGUCUCUAGAAGGCAUCUGAAAGAGAUUAAAGAUUUAUCGGUGAUGGAUGGGGAUGCGUCUGAUUAGCUUGUUGGCGGGGUAACGGCCCACCAAGGCUACGAUCAGUAGGGGUUCUGAGAGGAAGGUCCCCCACAUUGGAACUGAGACACGGUCCAAACUCCUACGGGAGGCAGCAGUGAGGAAUAUUGGUCAAUGGACGAGAGUCUGAACCAGCCAAGUAGCGUGCAGGAUGACGGCCCUAUGGGUUGUAAACUGCUUUUAUAAGGGAAUAAAGUGAGUCUCGUGAGACUUUUUGCAUGUACCUUAUGAAUAAGGACCGGCUAAUUCCGUGCCAGCAGCCGCGGUAAUACGGAAGGUCCGGGCGUUAUCCGGAUUUAUUGGGUUUAAAGGGAGCGUAGGCCGGAGAUUAAGCGUGUUGUGAAAUGUAGAUGCUCAACAUCUGCACUGCAGCGCGAACUGGUUUCCUUGAGUACGCACAAAGUGGGCGGAAUUCGUGGUGUAGCGGUGAAAUGCUUAGAUAUCACGAAGAACUCCGAUUGCGAAGGCAGCUCACUGGAGCGCAACUGACGCUGAAGCUCGAAAGUGCGGGUAUCGAACAGGAUUAGAUACCCUGGUAGUCCGCACGGUAAACGAUGGAUGCCCGCUGUUGGUCUGAAUAGGUCAGCGGCCAAGCGAAAGCAUUAAGCAUCCCACCUGGGGAGUACGCCGGCAACGGUGAAACUCAAAGGAAUUGACGG